rnacentral:rRNA from 1 species
UACAGAGGUGGCAAGCGUUGUUCGGAAUUACUGGGCGUAAAGGGCGCGUAGGCGGCCAUCUAAGUCAGACGUGAAAUCCCCCGGCUUAACCUGGGAACUGCGUCUGAUACUGGACGGCUUGAGUAUGGGAGAGGGAUGUAGAAUUCCAGGUGUAGCGGUGAAAUGCGUAGAUAUCAGGAGGAACACCGGUGGCGAAGGCGCACAUCUGGCCCAAUACUGACGCUAAAGCGCGAAAGCUAGGGGAGCAAACGGG